CUUCCAAUCUUUGUUUUAUAGGCUGUGAAGAGACACCAUGACCAAGGGAACUUAUAGAAGAAAGAGUAUAUUGUUGCUUACAGUUUCAAGGAUUCUGAGUUAUGACUACAAUGCUGAGGUACAUGGCAGCAGGCUGCAAAGAGAUACCAUGAGCAAGGGAACUUUUCGAAGAAAGAGUUUAUUGGGGCUUACAGUUUCAAGGAUCAUGAGUCUGAUAUCAGGGGUACAUGGCAGCAGGCUGUGAAGAGACACCAUGUCCAAGGGAACUUAUAGAAGAAAGAGUAUAUUGUUGCUUACAGUUUCAAGGAUUCUGAGUUAUGACUAUUAUGCUGAGGUACAUGGCAGCAGGUAGGUCACCAUGUUUCUAGAGAACUAGCUGAGAGCUUACAUCUUAUCUGCAAGUUGGAGACAGAGAAAGUGAAGGUUAAGUAUAAAUGGUAUUGGAUUUGGAAACCUCAAAGCCCAAUCCCAAAAUACUCCUCCAACCAAUACAUAUCUUAUAAUACUUCCCACACAUUUCCUCUAACAAGAAACCAAACAUGCAUACAUGUGAGUUUAUGUGGGCCAUUAUCAUUCAAUUCACCAUAUCCUACUCACAAUUUUCCAUAGGAUCUUAAAACAUAUCAAAAUAAAAAUGCAUUUCCCACACCUUCAAAAAUCCUUGUAGUCUUUCACAGUCUACACAGUUCAUCCAAAGAGCUUCAUAAAACUCCACGCAGUCCCGUAAUUAUUUCCCCCAUAUGAAAUCAAAAGGCAAAUUACACACUUCCAAUGUGUAAUGCCGAAUCAUAUAUCUUAUCAUUGCCAAGGGAAAUUGGGAAUGUGGUGAGCCAAUUCAAGGCAUAAUCCCAAGAGCGCACACUCCAAAUUCUCUCCUUCUGAUAGUAGACAAAGAGAUUAAAACUAUUUUAAAUUUUCCUUAUUUAUUUCUCCCCUGACCCUUUCAGUUGUUGUAUUGUUUAUGUUACUUACUUUCCAUGAGUGUGUGUAUUUUCUGUACUUUUAAUUGUUUGAUACCACUUUGAUUCCUUUGU